GAUGAACGCUGGCGGCGUGCCUAAUACAUGCAAGUCGAGCGAACAGACGAGGAGCUUGCUCCUCUGACGUUAGCGGCGGACGGGUGAGUAACACGUGGAUAACCUACCUAUAAGACUGGGAUAACUUCGGGAAACCGGAGCUAAUACCGGAUAAUAUAUUGAACCGCAUGGUUCAAUAGUGAAAGAUGGUUUUGCUGUCACUUAUAGAUGGAUCCGCGCCGCAUUAGCUAGUUGGUAAGGUAACGGCUUACCAAGGCGACGAUGCGUAGCCGACCUGAGAGGGUGAUCGGCCACACUGGAACUGAGACACGGUCCAGACUCCUACGGGAGGCAGCAGUAGGGAAUCUUCCGCAAUGGGCGAAAGCUUGACGGAGCAACGCCGCGUGAGUGAUGAAGGUCUUCGGAUCGUAAAACUCUGUUAUUAGGGAAGAACAAAUGUGUAAGUAACUAUGCACGUCUUGACGGUACCUAAUCAGAAAGCCACGGCUAACUACGUG
rnacentral:rRNA from 1 species